AAGUGUUAUGCUUGUAAACUGCAGAUGGCUCAUUAAAUCAGUGAUAAUUAAUUUGAUGAUCGCUUUCACCAAGAUGGGAGCACGUCUGAAAUGGAUAACUGUAGUAAUUCUAGAGCUAAUACAUGCGUGAAGCCAAGCCUGGAAGCGAUUUUGGGCGAGGUGUAUUUAUUAGCGUGGAACGAAACCGAGCGGAGAUUGCCAAAGCUUGCUCUGGCGAUUGAAAGCCGAGGAAUCGUAAUAAACCCAGCGGCGGGUAUGAUGAUAAAACAUGAUGCUCGUCUGGAACCGAUCGCAAAAGCAGCCUGAAGCCCUAGUUAAUGGGGCUCGGGCGUGGCGACAGGUCAUUCAAAUUUCUGCCCUAUCAGCUUUCGACGGCAGUGUAGUGGACUACCGUGGCGGUGACGGGUAACGGAGAAUUAGGGUUCGAUUCCGGAGAGGGAGCCUGAGAAAUGGCUACCACAUCCAAGGAAGGCAGCAGGCGCGUAAAUUACCCAAUUCUGACACGGAGAGGUAGUGACAAGAAAUAACGAUACCGGGGCAAUUCUUUCAAAGAAACUCUGGUAAUCGGAAUGAGAACCAUGUAAAUCGCUUAACGAGGAACGAUU
rnacentral:rRNA from 1 species